AUUGAACGCUGGCGGCAGGCUUAACACAUGCAAGUCGAGCGAGCGGCGGACGUGUGAGUAAUGUCUGGGAAACUGCCUGAUGGAGGGGGAUAACUACUGGAAACGGUAGCUAAUACCGCAUACCAUCAGAUGUGCCCAGAUGGGAUGAGCGAGUAGGUGGGGUAAUGGCUCACCUAGGCGACGAUCCCUUUCUGGUCUGAGAGGAUGAACAGACACACUGGAACUGAGACACGGUCCAGACUCCUACGGGAGGCAGCCGUGGGGAGUAUUGAACAAUGGGCGCAAGCCUGAUGCAGCCAUGCCGCGUGUGUAAGGAAGGCCUUCGGGUUGUAAAGCACUUUCAGCGAGGAGGCGUUACUCGCAGAAGAAGCACCGGCUAACUCCGUGCCGGCCGCCGCGGUGAUUG
rnacentral:rRNA from 1 species